rnacentral:rRNA from 1 species
GUAGGGAAUCUUCCACAAUGGACGAAAGUCUGAUGGAGCAACGCCGCGUGAGUGAAGAAGGUCUUCGGAUCGUAAAACUCUGUUGUUAGAGAAGAACGUGCAUGAUAGUAACUGAUCAUGUAAUGACGGUAUCUAACCAGAAAGCCACGGCUAACUACGUGCCAGCAGCCGCGGUAAUACGUAGGUGGCAAGCGUUGUCCGGAUGUAUUGGGCGUAAAGGGAACGCAGGCGGUUUUUUAAGUCUGAUGUGAAAGCCUUCGGCUUAACCGAAGAAUAGCAUUGGAAACUGGAAGACUUGAGUGCAGAAGAGGAGGGUGGAAUUCCAUGUGUAGCGGUGAAAUGCGUAGAUAUAUGGAGGAACACCAGUGGCGAAAGCGGCUCUCUGGUCUGUAACUGACGCUGAGGUUCGAAAGCGUGGGUAGCAAACAGGAUUAGAAACCCCUGUAGUCC